UCUCCCCCAUCUAAUCAGUGAAACUGAUCUCCCCGUGAAGAAGCGGGGAUACACAUACAAGACGAGAAGACCCCAUGGAGCUUUAAACUCGACAGCACCCGUUUAUUCUAUACCCUCUUAUACAUCCGGUAUCUGUCUGCCAGUUUUAGGUUGGGGUGACCGCGGAGCAUAAAACAACCUCCACGAGAAAGGGGUAUUCCCUGAUUUGAGAACCACAUUUCCAAGAACUAAAAAAUUAAUUUUAAAUGAUCCGACUUAAUACUCGAUCAACGAACCAAGUUACCCUGGGGAUAACAGCGCCAUCCACCCCGAGAGUUCCUAUCGACAGGUGGGUUUACGACCUCGAUGUUGGAUCAGGGUAUCCCAGUGGUGCAGCAGCUACCAAAGGUUCGUUUGUUCAACGAUUAAAACCCUACGUGAUC
rnacentral:rRNA from 1 species